GUCACUGGAUUGUCUGGUCCAGAUUCGAUUAUUUACAGACCGCUACCAUAUAGCUGGAAUAUUGCUGAGUGUGGUGUUAAACAAGAAACCAACAAAUCUAUUUGUUAUGAAGUUAAAGCAUGGCUAACCAGUUUCAGUGGCAGGGUGUAUGGUGAUGUCAUUUGAUUGUGAUGUCACAGUGGUCAGCAAAGAUUGUGAUUGAGUUUCAUUGUAGUAAUAUCUCCCAGGCAAUAUUGUCAGGAAUAACUGCUCUUGAAAACAUGUCAGCAUGAUUUGAAAGUUGUCAGAGAAUCAGAAAGGUUAGUUAAUCUUUGUAUUUGAAAAAAUGAUAAUUCUCAUAUUAUUCUAUUCCCACAGACAAAGGCAUUAGUGGAGCUUAAAGAACUGUCACCUGUCAAGUGCAAUUAUUAGCAUAACUUAUGUUUCAAUGCUGCUGGUGUUGAAACUACUGUACAUAUUCUACUAUAUUUCACUAUUUAAUGUACUUGUAUAUUUCAUUUUGUAUUUCCUGUGUGUAUAUAUGGCAAGAAUUGGGGCAUAAUUAUACAGUAGUCACACCCUUCCCUAGAGUCUGUCUUCCUGUUGUUUACUGCUGGUAAAAUAACAGGCAUGAAUUGUAUAACAAUCCCUUGAUCAUCAUAGGCGGAUCUAGAGGGGGGUGCAGGGUGCACACACACCCUUUGUCUUGAAAGUUUAUUAAAUGACCAUUGAAGCUCUCGUGAAAUUGGGUGAAAAUGAACUGAUCACUUGAUCUUUCAAUCACAGGAUUGCUGUAUCAUUCACACGAUUACUGGAUGAUUCAACCAGAGGAUGACUGGAUAAUUCAGUCUCAAGGUCACUGAUGAUUCAAUUGCAGGAUCACUGGAUCAUUCAAUCACAUGACUGCUGUAUCAUUCACAUGAUCACUGGAUGAUUCAGUCACAUGAUCUCUUGACUCAAUCAUGGGUAAAGGUCCCUUGAUAUUUCAAUCAUGAAUCAUGCUAUCACUUGAUUGAAUCAUUAAGUCAUCAAAUGAAAUCAGUCCAUUUUUUGUGUCAUGAGAAUGAAUGUGUGUAUGGGUGUCAGUGUCGGUGUGUCUGUGUGCUGAUUGCUCUGAUUGGACAGAGGGAGGAAACUGCAAUGCCGGGGUCCUGAACACACCAUCUUCACUCCGACUGAGCACCUCUAUAAAGAUAUAUAUAUAUAUAUAUAUAGGAGGCUUCCUCAGGUGAAUCCUUAGCAAA